rnacentral:rRNA from 1 species
GACGAACGCUGGCGGCGUGCUUAACACAUGCAAGUCGAACGGAAAGGCCCUGCUUUUGUGGGGUGCUCGAGUGGCGAACGGGUGAGUAACACGUGAGUAACCUGCCCUUGACUUUGGGAUAACUUCAGGAAACUGGGGCUAAUACCGGAUAGGAGCUCCUGCUGCAUGGUGGGGGUUGGAAAGUUUCGGCGGGUGGGGAUGGACUCGCGGCUUAUCAGCUUGUUGGUGGGGUAGUGGCUUACCAAGGCUUUGACGGGUAGCCGGCCUGAGAGGGUGACCGGCCACAUUGGAACUGAGAUACGGCCCAGACUCCUACGGGAGGCAGCAGUGGGGAAUAUUGCACAAUGGGCGGAAGCCUGAUGCAGCAACGCCGCGUGCGGGAUGACGGCCUUCGGGUUGUAAACCGCUUUCGCCUGUGACGAAGCGUGAGUGACGGUAAUGGGUAAAGAAGCACCGGCUAACUACGUG